GGAGGCCUAUGAUGAUUAAAUUUGCCUACAUUGUCUGAUCAUCUAAUGAAUGACAGAGACAUAUAAUUAGUUCUGAGGCUUCC
rfam:Populus trichocarpa isolate Nisqually-1 chromosome 7, whole genome shotgun sequence.